rnacentral:rRNA from 1 species
CAGCAGCCGCGGUAAAACGGAGGGGGCUAGCGUUGUUCGGAAUUACUGGGCGUAAAGCGCACGUAGGCGGCUUGGUAAGUUAGAGGUGAAAGCCCGGAGCUCAACUCCGGAAUUGCCUUUAAGACUGCCGAGCUAGCAGGUGAGAGAGGUAAGUGGAAUUCCGAGUGUAGAGGUGAAAUUCGUAGAUAUUCGGAAGAACACCAGUGGCGAAGGCGGCUUACUGGCUCAUACUGGACGCUGAGGUGCGAAAGCGUGGGGAGCAAACAGGAUUAGAUACCCCAGUAGUCCCUGUCUCUUAUAC